rnacentral:rRNA from 1 species
AAUGCAAGUCGAGCGAAUGAUGAGGAAGCUUGCUUCCUCUGAUUUAGCGGCGGACGGGUGAGUAACACGUGGGCAACCUACCUUAUAGUUUGGGAUAACUCCGGGAAACCGGGGCUAAUACCAAAUAAUCUCUUUUACUUCAUGGUGAAAGACUGAAAGACGGCAUCUCGCUGGCUGCUAUAGGAUGGGCCCGCGGCGCAUUAGCUAGUUGGUGAGGUAACGGCUCACCAAGGCGACGAUGCGUAGCCGACCUGAGAGGGUGAUCGGCCACACUGGGACUGAGACACGGCCCAGACUCCUACGGGAGGCAGCAGUAGGGAAUCUUCCACAAUGGGCGAAAGCCUGAUGGAGCAACGCCGCGUGAGUGAAGAAGGAUUUCGGUUCGUAAAACUCUGUUGUAAGGGAAGACACAAGUACAGUAGUAACUGGCGUGUACC